rnacentral:rRNA from 1 species
UGGGGAAUAUUGCACAAUGGGCGCAAGCCUGAUGCAGCAACGCCGCGUGAAGGAUGAAGGGUUUCGGCUCGUAAACUUCUUUAGGCAGGGAAGAAAAAAAUGACGGUACCUGCAGAAUAAGCCCCGGCUAACUACGUGCCAGCAGCCGCGGUAAUACGUAGGGGGCAAGCGUUAUCCGGAAUUACUGGGUGUAAAGGGUGAGUAGGCGGUUGAAUAAGUCAUAUGUGAAAUACCCGGGCUCAACCCGGGAACUGCAUAAGAAACUGUUUAACUAGAGUACAGGAGAGGUAAGCGGAAUUCCUAGUGUAGCGGUGAAAUGCGUAGAUAUUAGGAAGAACACCAGUGGCGAAGGCGGCUUACUGGACUGAAACUGACGCUGAGUCACGAAAGCGUGGGGAGCGAACA